GGCAGUUAAGAGCAAAAUUCCAAGUUAAACAGAAUACCAACGACAGUCUGGAAGGGAAAAAGACAGCACACAAAGAUCCCAGAAUAAGAAAAUAUACAGAGGAAGCUGCAGCCAAUAUAUAUUCAACAUGUUACAUAAGUGAGAAACAGAUGUUUGUGGUUAUAAGUCACUGAGUUUUGGGAGCUAUUUGUUAUCACAGCAUAACUUAGUGAGAGCUGACUAAUGCAGAAGACUGGCAGAAGUUAGAAAGAUGGAUAAGGCCAAGUGUUGGUGGAGAUGUUCCCACAUACAGGAAUUUUACCAUUGCUGAUGGAGUCACUGUGUCAUUACUGCAGCCUUUUUGGAAAGCAUCUGUCACUACUUAGCCAAUUAAGAAAAUGCAUAUUCUAUAACCCAGCAAUUAUACCUCUGGGCAUGCUUGCAAUAUUUCUCCACCAAAUAUGAUGAUGGUUCCAGGUUUUCUAUAGAUACCAUUUAUCCAGAAGCAUUUGGCCUGAGAAGAUACCACACCCUCUCCAUCGUUUUCAUAAGAAUUGCCUACCAUCUACAGAUGAACCCACCCAAGCAAAGCCAGCAUGCUCUGCAUAGGAAGCCUGAGAUGAUGGAGUCCACAUGCUGUUUAUUUAGUCAUCAUAGCUUUAUGACUUGAAAAUGUUGACAGAGACAUGCAUCUACCAGUCACCAUGGCAGGGAUUCAAUAGCCCACUGUGCCACAGAGGGCAUGCCUUGGAUGUAGAGAGUGAAGACUUUCCACAACUUGUGAAUGAGCCCUCUGUGAGUUUAGCCAAAACAUUCAUGUCAAAGAAAUGGAAAUCUCAAAUAAAACCCAUCGCAGGCCAAGCUCAGGAGGGCUGGCUAGCCAACAAAUCCUGAACAAGGGGGUUCAAGGGAAAAGGAAAACAUGUGUUUCAUAGGCAUGUAUGAAAAUAAUCUUUUCUUCUAUAGCUUUUGAAAUGAGGAUAAUGAAAUAUCAGUUGGUCUUUGA
ensembl:lncRNA novel transcript